rnacentral:lncRNA from 10 species
UGGCUAUAUUAAGACACUGAGUUUUACUUAGAAAGCACUAAAGGUGAAGAUAUGGUCACAGGAUGCUGUCAGUUCUAUUGACACGACCCAGCAAAAAUAAUAAUAAUAAUAAUAAAAAUGCUUGAAAUGCAAUACACAUAUGUGGACACAGAAAUGCUAAGAUGUGUUUCAGAACAUGCAGUCUCUCCAUGUUCAGAAUUAACACCCUCAGUACAUGCUUCUGUGCUUCUUUACCAGUGCCUACAUCCAUGCCAUCCUGUUGUUAUCCAUGGAUGAACAACUCAGAAUUUGGAGAAAUGGAUUUGGGGAAAUCUCUGAGACACAUUUUGAAACCAGCGAGGAAUUAGGCUGCAAGCGGCAGCAGCAGUAACAGUGACAGCAGCAAGAAACAGCCACCUGCAUCUCAAGAGUGGCACAGGGCUUCCACCGGCUGAGGCGGACACAUGGCGGAUGUGUAAGAAGCGUGCAGAAAGUGGUCAGUCAUGUGUGCACACACGAAUACAUGCUCAGUGUCAGGCCAAGGCCCUGUGGGCCUAAGGAAAACAAUGUCACGUUUCAACAUGAUUUGGGAAACCCUACUCUCCACUGAAAUCUCAUAUUGGCAGCAGAAAACUCUGCCGAUGCCUCAGAAGCCAAAGAUAACUAAAUUGUGUUUCUUUUAGUUCUUGCAUAGGGGCAAGCCCACUUCACAUUUCAUGAUACACCAACUCCUAGAGAGCUCCUUUGGGGCCCUAUUUAAUUUACUUAACUUUUGUUGGCAAUGGAAAGUGGGCCUGCCACAUUUGAUGACUAGAGCAGGUCCAUCCCAGUCACCUGCCUUCCCAAAAGUGCAUUGGAGAGUGGAACAGAAACCACAACCCACUGUCUCGGACAGGCGUCAGCAUUGUAAAAUACACUCUGGCACCCAGCCCUGGCAGAAUAGUGGUCUACAGAGGCAAAACUUCAGGUUUUUACUAUACCCAAGGCAUAAUGAACUUUAUCGAGGGUAAAUAUUGCCCAGCCUUCUUUCAUGUAGGAACCAAGAAAACUAGACCCAACAGUUUUGCCUUUCCUUCCUUCUCUGUACAUGUUCUUCCUAGUUGUACUGGAUUUUGCUAAUAUCAUAAGCACAGCUGUGAUACAGCCAGGUCUUUAUGCAUGGAUUUUACUCUUUGAGCAGCUUGAAGACAAUUCUGUCUCGCUCUCUCUGGGUUCUCACGAGCACAGACCUGUAACCAUAAU